CGCCCCGCCCGGCGCGUGACCGCAAGCCCUGGUUGAGCGUUCUCGCAUGCGCGGUGGGGUGGGGCUAAGCCGCGGGCUCGCGCCCAGCUAGACGUGGCACUCUCGGCCCCGCCCCCUCUACGCGCCUCUCCGCAACCUGCGCGCACCCGCGAGCUUGGGUCUCCCGCAGACUCAGUCGGGUAGCGGAAUCCAGAGGCGGGGCCAGCCGCUUGAGGGCGGGGCACAGCCUUGGUGGGCGUGGCCUUCCGAAGCUGCUCUGCAGCCACGUCCCACGGCCCCCCUCCAAAGCCAUCCUGGCUUCAAGAUCUUCAGGGAUCCAGACAUGUCCGAAGUGAAGAGCCGAAAGAAGCCGGGGCCCAAAGUGGCUGCUCCUGAGCCCGAGAAGCGGAGUGAUGGCAGGAAAAACCCCGAGGCGCGGGGGGACGCGGGCUGGGCGGACCCCCGCACUGGGCUCAGCCUGCUGUCUCUGGCGAUGACCCUGGGCCUGGCCUGGCUUGUAUUUCAACAAUCAGAAAAGUUUGCGAAGGUAGAAAAACAAUACCGGUUACUGCAAACAGAGAGCAGCGAGUUUCAGGGCCUCCAGAGUAAAAUCAGUUUAAUUUCCAGCAAGCUUGAGUCUACUGAAAAUACCCUGCAGGAAGCUACAUCAUCCAUAUCUUUGAUGACCCAAUUUGAACAGGAAGUAUCUGGCCUCCAAAGAUCCAUACGUGAUAUUGAGACUAGCGAAGAGAUGCUCACACAAAAGAUGCAAAACCUUAAUGAGAAAUUCCAGAACAUUACAGACUUCUGGAAGAGAACACUGGCAGAAAUGAUCGAUGACACAGCCGUCUUCAAAUCAGAAGUGAAGGAUACACAUUCUGAAGUUACCCUGAAGAUUAACUCCGCGGAUCAAGAAAUAAAAUCGCUCACUGAACGUCUAAAAGAUUUAGAAGACAGCACACUGCGAAACAUCAGAACAGUGAGCAGGCAAGAAGAGGAAGAUCUUCUACGAGUCGAGGCCCAGCUUAGCUCUGAUACCAAAGCAGUUAAGAAGCUAGAAGAAGAACAGCACACGCUCCUAGCCAGAGACGAAGAUCUGACCAACAAACUCUCCAGCUACGAACCCAAAGUAGAAGAGUGCAAGGCACACUUGCCAACCAUAGAAAAUGCUGUCCACUCGGUUCUCAGAGUCUCUCAGGAUCUGAUAGGGACAGAAAGGAAGAUGGAGGAGCUGACGAUGCAGAUGUUCAACAUGGAGGACGACAUGCUGAGGGCUGUGUCUGAGAUCAUGGAGAUGCAGAAAACCCUGGAGGGGAUCCAGUAUGACAACAGCUUACUAAAGAUGCAGAACGAGCUGGUCGUUCUAAAAGGAAAAGUUCAUGACUUCAUAGCAUAUUCAAGUGCACGGGAAAAGGGGACUUUGGGAGAGUAUAGCCUAGGAAAUAAGGGAACUGAUGAGUAUUAAAUAUACUGCACACCUUCUGAUGGGCUGCACUACCAAGUGGGAAUCAUUCACUCCUACAUUUUUUAGGUUUUUUUUUUUGAUCUGCCUCAUGUUACUCGAGAAUAAGUGGAGUGUGCGCCAUAUGGAGUAUGCAUCUAAUCAAACUUUUUUGUCUUUUUAAUCUUAAAACUUACUUUAACUAUGUUCAUAGCAAUUCUUCUAAAAUAUAUAUUGCUCCACUUUUUUAGGCAGUAUAUUUAAUAUUUACAUGUCUUUCCAAUGAUUAAUAGACAUUAUGAGUUGCAUUAUUCUAUCUAUCUAUCUAUCUAUCUAUCUAUCUAUCUAUCUAUUCUGGAGAUAGACAGACAGAUAAUCUGUAGCAAAUAUUAAAACCUCUUACCAUUUCACUGUGACCCUCAUUAUCUGUUUUCUAAGCUAUGUCUGUUUCUCACAACUUUUCUGUCUCCUGCUCUUGCAGCCAGUUGGUAACAUACCUUCCUCUCCCAGGUUUUUGGGGCUCUUUUUUUUUUUUUUUUUAAAUUCAGACAACCAAGUUCAUUGGAAGUGUAUGUAAAAUAGAAGGUAACCUUCCUGCAGGAGAACCAAGGGGCUCUCCUGUGAGGUAGUGCCACGUUAUGAAAACUAUGAAAACUGAAAAGUAUCCUCCCUUUUGCAAAGGUUCUAAGCUGUGUUACAGAUACUUACAAGAGGUUUAAGAUGUGAGUGAACGUGUCCCUAUUGUGUUCUCAUUUAUAGCCUUUUCUAUGAACUGGUGAUGUUUUGAAGUAUGAGUUUAUGAAGUCUCUUUGUGAACCUGGACUUUUAUUUCUAAAGUUUGAACUGUGUGACACUAGAGUUUACUGAAUACAAUUAAUAGAUGCUUAAAAUAAGAACAUGUUGGGCCUGUGCCUAUUUUAAAGAUAAAAUAACAUAGCAAUAAAUUGUGAUAAUGACAUAUUUACAUCAUUAUUUUAAAGAUUCUCCAAUGUAUGAAACUAAAUUUGUUUCACAUAUUAAUUUUUUAAAAAGUAGGGCUGGAGCUAAGUACGGUGGCGCACAGCUUUGAUACCAGCACUCCAGAGGGUAUCUGAGGCCCUCCCCCAGUCCACAUGGGCUCCUGAUCUGUAUACUACACACAGACUCACACAGUACCAGGAAUGUGAAGCUCUCGUGGAACAACUGAAGGCUUUCCAAAUAGCGGCUCAUCUAAAGCUCCUGCAGGAAGAAAUUCAUGAGAUGAAAACAUGGUCUAACAGGAUAACUGAGAGACAGGGCACACUGAAUAACACACUAACAAGACUUUCUGAGGACAUUAUAAAAGUAGACCAAGGUACAGCAUCCAUGGCCAAAGACAUGGGCCUCAAGAUUACAAGCGUGAAAACAGACGUACGGCGGAUUUCCGGUUUAGUAACUGAAGUCGAAUCACUAACAGAUGCCGUGCAAGCCCUGGGGAAUAAAGUCAAAAAAGUAGAGACGGCUACGGUGGAAAAUAUAGGUGAUCUCCUCUCGAGCAGCAUCGACCGAACAUCGGCACUCCGAAAGACGGCAAGCGAAAAUGCGAAAAGAAUUGACUCGGUCGCACAGAGGCUGGCUGAGCUCCAGGGCGAUUUCGAUGAGCACACAGAUAGGUUUUUAAGCUUGGAAAGUGACAGGGCGAAAGUUCUGAAGGCAGUGAGCUUUGCAAACGAUCUGAAGCCAAAGGUCUCUAAUCUGAAGAAGGACUUCUCGCGUUUGGAACCACUGGUAGAUGACCUAACACUUCGCAUUGGGAGACUAGGUUCUGACUUAAUGCAAAGAGAGAAAGAAAUUGCUUUCUUAAAGGAAAAGAUAUCUAAUUUAACAGUAGUCCAAGCUGCGAUUAAGGACAUUAAAGAUGAAAUAACGCAUAUUUCAGAUUAGUUUGAUAUUAUGUAAAUUAGAGGUAAUUUAAAAAUAAGAUUGCUGUUGUGAAUAGACUGAUAGGAAAUACUGAUAUUUUGGAAUAAAUGCUAUUUUGUGUUUGAUACUA